rnacentral:rRNA from 1 species
CUACGGGCUGCACCAGUGAGGAGUUUUGCGCAAUGGGGGAAACCCUGACGCAGCAACGCCGCGUGAGCGAAGAAGGCCUUCGGUCGUAAAGCUCUGUCAAGUGGGAAAAACGUUUUCCGGUCAAUAGCCGGAAGAUCUGAUGGUACCGCUGAAGGAAGCACCGGCUGACUCCGUGCCAGCAGCCGCGGUAAUACGGAGGGUGCAAGCGUUGUUCGGAAUUAUUGGGCGUAAAGAGCGUGUAGGCGGUUUGGUAAGUCAGAUGUGAAAGCCCCGGGCUCAACCUGGGAAGUGCAUUUGAAACUGCUUUACUGGAGUAUGGGAGAGGAGAGUGGAAUUCCUGGUGUAGAGGUGAAAUUCGUAGAUAUCAGGAGGAACAUCUGUGGCGAAGGCGACUCUCUGGACCAAUACUGACGCUGAGACGCGAAAGCGUGGGUAGCAAACAGGAUUAGAUACCCCAGUAGUC